AGCAUAACUUUUCAAUUUGCAAUUUUUAUGGCAAGGUCAGAGGAAACUCACCACGGAGCGUCGUAAAACCCACCCCUUGGGCAGAUGGUUCGUGGAAAGGCUAAGUCAGGGGUUAGAAGGGUUCACUUCCGCUUCCUAUAAGAACCGAAAACACUAAGAACUCGAAGCAUAAAAACAAUUGGACGAGUUGAUUGGCCUUUGAUGUGUCAGGAGGCAUUUGGUGUGGCUGGAAAAAAGUGUCAGUCGGAAAAUGUGUGCCACUGUUUUUGUCGCUAAUGAUAUGCACCCCUGGGCCUAAAAGGCCACGACCCCUUCAAAUGCGAUGGAUAUCGUUUGACGCAAUCGUUGUUUUUUUUUGUUUUUUCAGUUUUUCUGUUUUUCGAAGGAAACCAGCAAACAUGCGUGCCGUAGUGGUGCCAUAGUUUGCAAGCUUGGGUUCAGUUCUGUUUGAAGUCGCAGUCACCUGGGCACAGGAAAAGGAAGAGUUGGAGAACGCGUUGCCCUUUUGACUGCAUUAUGCAAAUGUUCAAUGAAAAGAGAUUUUUAUUGACAUAUGUUUUUCCCUUUUGCCGCGCGGCUUCCAUCAUUCUUGGGUUGGGUUUUCAGUGACUGAGUGCUUUGGUUUGCAUUUCGAACCGAUUGAAAAUUUUCUCUUUUGCCGGAGUUUUUCCAAAUGAUGAAACCAAAAUCAAAACUAUUAAAGUCAGAUCUUGAAAGUGAGUUAAACAGAUGCAAGUUUUGGCUUUUAAAAUGAAAAUUAUGUUGAUUUUAUGAUGUAAACAUAUAUAGUUUUAAUGAUGGUUAAUAUUUUUUAUAACUACUAAUUUAUUUCUCAGCGAGUUUAUUGCUUAAAUGUAAA